GGGAAACGGGGCGCGGCCGGA
rnacentral:ncRNA from 2 species